rnacentral:rRNA from 1 species
GAUGAACGCUGGCGGCGUGCCUAAUACAUGCAAGUCGAGCGAACAGACGAGGAUCUUGCUCCUCUGACGUUUGCGGCGGACGGGUGUGUCACGCGUGGAUCACCUACCUCUAAGACUGGGAUAAUUUCGGGAAACCGGAGCUAAUCCCGGAUAAUAUAUUGAACCGCAUGGUUCAAUAGUGAAUGACGGUUUUGCUGUCAGUUAUCGAUGGAUCCGCGCUGCAUUAGAUAGUUGGUAAGGUACCGGCUUACCAGGGGGACGAUGCGUGGCCGACGUGAUGGGAGGAUCGGCCACACUGGAACGGAGACACGGUCCAGACUCCUACGAGAGGCAGCAGUAGGCAAUCUUCCGCAAUGGGCGAAAGCCUGACGCAGCAACGCCGCGUGAGUGAUGGAGGUCUUCGGAGCGUAAAACUCUGUUAUGAGGGAAGAACAAAUGUGUAAGUAACUAUGCACUUCUUGACGGUACCUAAUCAAAAAGCCACGGCUAACUACGUG